AUUGAACGCUGGCGGCAUGCCUUACACAUGCAAGUCGAGCGGCAGCGCGAGGGCAACCCUGGCGGCGAGCGGCGAACGGGUGAGUAAUGCAUCGGAACGUGUCCUCUUGUGGGGGAUAACCAGUCGAAAGACUGGCUAAUACCGCAUGAGCUCGUAAGAGGAAAGCAGGGGACCGCAAGGCCUUGUGCUAUGGGAGCGGCCGAUGUCCGAUUAGCAGUUGGUGAGGUAAUGGCUCACCAAGGCGACGAUCGGUAGCUGGUCUGAGAGGAUGAUCAGCCACACUGGGACUGAGACACGGCCCAGACUCCUACGGGAGGCAGCAGUGGGGAAUUUUGGACAAUGGGGCAACCCUGAUCCAGCCAUGCCGCGUGCGGGAAGAAGGCCU
rnacentral:rRNA from 1 species